UGCUGACUCCACUAAAGUCUAGCAAAAACCUGCCAAAUUUGACGUUUGCUGAUAUUUACAUUUACCUCGUCCACAAUCCAUCUCCAUACACCGGGGAAGCCCUCAAGGCGUUUAAAAGCACCGGAGCCUACCGCUACUUCACCUCAGGAUGGGUUAAUGAUCCCAAAAUUCAUCAUCUGGAGAUGAAGAAAAUGUUCUUGAUCACAGGAAGGGUACACGCCAAAGGUGAUGCAGCUGGACUUGCCCACUCCUUUGUCAACCUUACAUUCAAGCACCUGGCUAGAGGUAGACCUGCCCACACUACUGGUUGAGACUUCCAAGGUCUUUGAUAACCUACAUCUGACACAGCAACAGGUUCAUGCAUCAGGGUUCAUCAUCCACCCAGACCUCCCCUGGAUUGGAGCAUCACCUGACGGCA